AUUGAAGUAUGGGGCCUAAAACAGGAAUUUGCUUUCAAAUCUCACUCCUUUCUCCAAUUGGCGAUUCGUUAGUAAAACUACGGAAGAUAGUCAAAAGAGAAUUGAGAAAAACGCUUAUCAUAAUCAAAAAUUGAGAACUGCUGCAGCUUUAUUCUUCGUUUCCGUUCGUCCAUUUUUUCUACUGAUUUCUUCAAAUCUUUUUCCAGUCAGUAUAGUAAGAAAGUAGUGUAAUUAACGGCAAUUCAUAUUACACAGUCUUCCCAAUUAAAUUCUGGAUGCAGAAUCAGGCUGCAAUUUCCCUUAAAUCCUCUCUUAUUUCAAUUACACCCAGAACCAAUAAUGGUUUAUUAUCUCCUUAUCCACACACCCUCCAAAACCCUAGAUUGAGAAGAAAACGUAAUUAUUCGGUUUUGAAUUGCACCGGGAUUGAAAUUCUGGUACCCAAAGCGCGCCUUAAUUCUCUCAGCUUUUGCAAUGGUUCUGUGGAAGACGAGAAAUUGAAAGCCAUCGGAGUUAAGG
rnacentral:lncRNA from 1 species